rnacentral:lncRNA from 1 species
CUAGAAGAAAGAACUAGUUAUUUUAGGGUUUGUUUGGUUCAACGUAAAAUCAUUAAAAAUAGUUUUUCGUAGAAAAAUUUGGUGAAAAAAAAGUUUUACCUUUUAUAGUAUUUGGUUUGUAGAAAAAAAAAAAAAAUAGUUUUCCACAAUAUUUGUUUCAUUGAAAGAAAAAAAAAAUCACAUUUAUUUGAAUCAGUGGGAAAAAUAAAUUAAAAAAGCUUUGCACAGCUUGAGUUUUUAUUUCCUACCGAAAAAACAGUAGAAAAGAAACUUCAAAUUUUUUUCAAAUCCGUAAAAAUACUUUUCAGAAAAAUAUUCUUAUGUGAAAUCAAAAAACGAAAAAAUAUUUUUUAUGUCGAAAAUAAUUUUUCGGUUCAUUUUACGCCGAACCAAAUGGCCCCGUAGCUUGGAGAAAAAAAAGGUGAGUAUAGGAUCCGAGCAAUAGGGAUAUAUAAAUCUCAAGCGAAAACUUAAUGAAAUUGUAAUCAGAUCACCGAUUGUCUCGAGCAUAGUUAGCUAAGGACUUGAACUAUUAUUUAUAUUAACUAAUAUUUAUAUUAUUUAAAUAAUUAAAAUUUAAUUUAUCUAAUUAAUAUAUUAACUUAAAAUAUAAAUAAUUAAUUAAUAUUAACAUAUUGACUAAUUUUUAAUAUUUAUUUACUAGUUAACGCCAUCUUUAUCAUCUCAUAUAGUAAUUUUAAUUAAUUUAUUUACUAACUUAUUAAAAUAUUACUUUACUAAUACUUAGAUACUUAUUAUUUAUAUAAAUUAUAUCAUAAUUACUCUUAUUUUUAGUAUUCCAACUCAAUCAUNAAAAAAUUCUACUUAAACUUAAAUUUAAUAAAAAGAAUUUAUUAUAAUACUUAAAUAUAAUUUAUUAUAAAUUUUAUUAUAAUAUUUAAAUAUAAAUAAUAUGUAUUAAUAUAGUAUAAUUAAUAAUUUUAUAAUAAAAAUAAUGUAUUAUAAUAUAUAAUAUAUUAUAUUUAUAUACUUUAGUUUUAAUUCAAUUUAUAAUUUUAAUUAAGUUUGAAAUUAAGCAUUUGAAUAGCGCUAUUCCUCUAAAAUGGUGGAAUAACAAAUUCCUUACUAUUCCGGGAUAACCGGGAAUAGCAAGGUUUGACCGGGAUAAAAUAUCUCGGUCAAUUUUCAUUCCGUUUGGCGGAAUAGCGAGGAUAACUUUCGUUAUCCCCGCUUAUCCUCCAAUCAAACGGGUCAUUGUUUGAUUUAAUUUAACAAUGAAU